rnacentral:rRNA from 1 species
UACGUAGGGUGCGAGCGUUAAUCGGAAUUACUGGGCGUAAAGUGUGCGCAGGCGGCAGAGCAAGUCGAGUGUGAAAGCCCCGGGCUUAACUUGGGAAUUGCGCUCGAAACUACUUUGCUGGAGUGUGGCAGAGGAAGGUGGAAUUCCACGUGUAGCGGUGAAAUGCGUAGAGACGUGGAGGAACACCAAUGGCGAAGGCAGCCUUCUGGGCCAACACUGACGCUCAUGCACGAAAGCGUGGGGAGCAAACAGG